rnacentral:rRNA from 1 species
UCCCUUAACGAGGAACAAUUGGAGGGCAAGUCUGUGCCAGCAGCCGCGGUAAUUCCAGCUCCAAUAGCGUAUAUUAAAGUUGUUGCAGUUAAAAGCUCGUAGUUGAACCUUGGGCCUGGCUGGCCGGUCCGCCUCACCGCGUGCUCGCGGCCCGGCCUUUCCCUCGGGGAACCGAUGCUUCACGGGGUGUGGGGGACCGCUUUUACUUUGAAAAAUUGAGUGUUCAAACGGCCUACGCCGAAUACAUUAGCAUGGAAUAAUAAAAUAGGACGCGCGGUUCUAUUUUGUUGGUUUCUAGGACGCCGUAAUGAUUAAUAGGGACAGUGGGGGCAUCAGUAUUCUUGUCAGAGGUGAAAUUCUUGGAUUUAGAAGACAACUACUGCGAAAGCAUUUGCCAAGGAUGUUUUCAUUAAUCAAGAACGAAAGUUAGGGGAUCGAAAACGAUCA